AGGAGGCGCUUAAAGCAGAGGGAAGGAGGCUCCAUCGGGAGACAUGGAGGAAGGAGGCGCUUAAAGCAGAGGGAAGGAGGCUCCAUCAGGAGACAUGGAGGAAGGAGGCGCUUAAAGCAGAGGGAAGGAGGCUCCAUCGGGAGACAUGGAGGAAGGAGGUGCUUAAAGCAGAGGAAAGGAGGCUCCAUCAGGAGACAUGGAGGAAGGAGGCGCUUAAAGCAGAGGGAAGGAGGCUCCAUCAGGAGACAUGGAGGAAGGAGGCGCUUAAAGCAGAGGGAAGGAGGCUCCAUCAGGAGACAUGGAGGAAGGAGGCGCUUAAAGCAGAGGGA